UGAUUGAAUAUAAUAAAUACAAGGAAGGGAUCAUUGAGACUGGUGGUGUAGUAGGGAUUGCCUCUUUGUUCACUCUCUCGCACCAACCCCCACCUCCAAUAAGGGGCAGAAAAGAUUUGAAUCUCUUUGCCCCCACCUCCCUCGUCUCUCCUUUCCGUCCGUAGUCCCUGUGGUAUGGGGGAGAGAAUCCCUCCUGGAAGUUACUUCCAGUACCCACCUCCUGGAGUCCAUGCUUCUCCACGCAGGUCUUCUCUCCCUGCAGACCGAGAGAGAUAUUUGGCUGAACUACUGGCAGAGAAGCAAAAGUUGGGACCAUUCCUGCAAAUAUUUCCCCUAUGUAGCAGACUUCUAAAUCAUGAGAUCAGACGAGUAUCAGGCUUCAAUCAAACUCUCGCAGAUCAUGAGAGAUUUGAGCAUGACAGUCCAUUUAGGUCAUCAAGUCAAAAUGCGAAUGGUCGACCAAUGGAUUUGGAGGGAUGGCCAGGAAUACACAUGGAGGACAAUGGACAUAUCCAGAGAAUGGCCCCGUUCCAAUCUCCUUCUAUGGGCUGGCCUGGGGCGCAAGGAAUUCCAGCCACCCCUAUUGUAAAGAGAGUUAUUAGACUUGAUGUUCCAGUUGACAAAUAUCCACAUUACAAUUUUGUUGGCCGAAUUUUGGGACCACGUGGGAACUCCUUAAAAAGAGUUGAAGCCAUGACAGAGUGUAGGGUGUACAUCCGAGGCCGGGGCUCUGUGAAGGAUUCUGUAAAGGAAGAGAAAUUAAAAGAUAAGCCUGGAUAUGAACAUCUUAAUGAGCCGUUGCACGUGUUGGUGGAGGCUGAAUUUCCGGAGGAUAUAAUCAACGCUCGGUUGGAUCAUGCGGUGGCAAUACUAGAGAACCUUCUGAAGCCUGUGGACGAGUCCUUCGAUCACUAUAAGAAGCAACAACUCAGAGAAUUGGCUAUGCUAAACGGUACACUGAGGGAAGAGAGCCCUAGUAUGAGCCCAAGUCUAAGCCCGAGCCUGUCGCCCUUCAACAGUACAGGGAUGAAGCGAGCCAAGACAGGAAAAUAAUAAAAUCCUCAAAAUAUGCUGAUCACGAGUAGUUUAAUCACAGAAACUUUCACAUCUGACUUGUCGAAGUUUUGACUUCCAACACAUUGGGAGGCAUUAUUGACAAACUGAUGAACUGAUUUCGAGCCCUUCUUCCGGCCUCUCAGAUGGGUCAACAGCUUCACUAGUUCCAUGCGACAUGCCUUCAACGUCCACGUGGCCAAGCAAGUGCACUAUGGUGCAGGUUCGAUCCCUAGGGAAUCCCUUCUCCCCCGACAACCAACUACAUAACUCACUAACGGUAUUGUUCGAAAAAAAAAAGAAAAAAAAAAGGAAUGAAGUUCAUACAUAUUUACUUGAAAUGGGAAGAGAGAACGAGAAUUGAAUAAAGUAUUUCACCUAAUCAGUCCAAUUCAUGGGUUUUCUAAGUAUUUAAAUUAUGGUUUGUAAUGUCGAAUCCAUUUGUCCUUUUCGCGGCUAAUAAAGUAGGACCCACCAA